AGAGCGGCGACUCGCGGGCCGUUUUUUUUGUGCGAAUGAGGCGAGACUUCUUCGGGGCAGAGGCGGAGGAGCCGGCGCCGAGGUUGGCGGUGGUGGUGAGCUGCUGGCGCUCGCGGUGGCGGGCGACGGGGAGAGGGCGGCACCGGGCUUGAGGGAAAUAAGGCCAAGUUGGGAGAGAAAGAGAGGAUAACUUAAGGAAAUAGUUUAAUAAGGUAGGGGCAAAAUAGGUAUUUUAAUUAGGUUUUAACUCUGGUAUACAUUUAACCCAUGUUUAACUCGAGUUAGUUUAACAAUGGAUAACUGCGGGGGUAUUUUGGAAUAACGGUGGAACAUAUGAGGGGUAUUUUUAGAAAGAAAAAAAAAUAGGGGUAAAUCGGAUAUUUUCAAACGUAUGAGGGGUAUAUAGGCAAUUAUCCCUCUUUAUUAUAGGUGAAAACUUUACAAUGAACAUACAUAUACAUCUGUAAAUAGGUAUAGGAACAAAGUAGCAACACAAGUUUGGGUGUGCAAUAGGGUCUUCAAGUGGUUGCUAUUGGAAGGAGAUUUGUCUAUAAGCGGAUUGGGUAAAAGACUGCAAUAAAAAUAUCAUGUGGACUUGACCUAUUUCAAGGUCUUUGGGGAAAAAAUUGCAAUGUCUGAAAUUCAUGGUGAGUGGGAGGAGUCGUAUAAAAGGUUUUUAUUUCAAGAAAGAAAUUGUUCAGAAAAAUUAUAAUAGUCAUGUGGAGGUAAAGUUGCAAGUUAUUAAUCGAGAAUAUCUUUGCAACGACUUUUAUUGCUUUUAGUGAUUGCAUACAAGGAUUCCAUAUUGGAUUUAGAUGUUAUGUUGCAUUAAAUGGAUGUCAUCUCAAAAGAAUGUAUAGAGGACUGCAUAUAG
rnacentral:lncRNA from 1 species